GCGGAGGAAAAGAAACUAACAAGGAUUCCCCUAGUAACGGCGAGUGAAGCGGGAAGAGCUCAAAUUUGUAAUCUGGCACCUUCGGUGUCCGAGUUGUAAUCUCGAGAAGUGUUUUCCGCGCCGGACCGCAUACAAGUCUGUUGGAAUACAGCGUCAUAGUGGUGAGAACCCCGUAACUGAUGCGGAUGCCCGGUGCUUUGUGAUACACUUUCGAAGAGUCGAGUUGUUUGGGAAUGCAGCUCAAAUUGGGUGGUAAAUUCCAUCUAAAGCUAAAUAUUGGCGAGAGACCGAUAGCGAACAAGUACCGUGAGGGAAAGAUGAAAAGCACUUUGGAAAGAGAGUUAACAGUACGUGAAAUUGUUGGAAGGGAAACGCUUGAAGUCAGACUUGCUAUUUGGAAUUCAGCCGCAAGGUGUACUUUUCAAUUCGCAGGCCAGCAUCAGUUUUCGGGGGUGGAAAAGGGUAGAGAGAAGGUAGCAAUUUCGGUUGUGUUAUAGCUCUUUGCUGGAUUCAUCCUUGGGGACUGAGGAACGCAGCACGCUUUUUGCAAGGCUUUCGAGCUUUUCGUGCUUAGGAUGCUGGUGGAAUGGCUUUAAACGACCCGUCUUGAAACACG
rnacentral:rRNA from 1 species